AAUAUUGGACAAUGGGCGAAAGCCUGAUCCAGCCAUGCCGCGCGUGUGAAGAAGGUCCUCGGAUUGUAAACCACUUUAAGUUGGGAGGAAGGGGCUGAAGCUAAUACCUUCAAUCUUUGACGUUACCAACUGAAUAACCAUCGGCUCACUCUGUGCCAGCAGCCUCGGUAAUACAGAGGGUGCAAGCGUUAAUCGGAAUUACUGGGCGUAAAGCGCGGGUAGGUGGUUCAGUAAGAUGGAAGUGAAAUCCCCGGGCUUAACCUGGGAACUGCUUUCAUAACUGCUGAGCUAGAGUACGGUAGAGGGUAGUGGAAUUUCCUGUGUAGCGGUGAAAUGCGUAGAUAUAGGAAGGAACACCAGUGGCGAAGGCGACUACCUGGACUGAUACUGACACUGAGGUGCGAAAGCGUGGGGAGCAAACAGG
rnacentral:rRNA from 1 species